AUUCGCCUGAUUAUGUUUAUCUGCACCUUAAGGAACCAAUUGAUGUAACCUGUUUGAGCACAUUGUUUCCAAAUUUAAGGAUUGCCGAAUUUGCAUAUUCACACGAUGGAAAAGCACCAAUCGGAGAUAUGAUUAAACUAAUCAGAGGUUCAGACUCUUUGAAAGGAAUAAUAUUUGAUUGUGAUUACCAUCUGGAUUUCGGAUGCAUACCGGAAAACGCUAACCUCGAAAUGUUAUCUACCGGAUAUAUUUAUCCAAACAUAAGUGGAAUCUAUGGAAAUGUGAAACAAUUGCACCUUUGGAACACUAAUCUAGGUCUAUUCAAAUGCGCGGCACAUCGUUUCCCAAAUCUUGAAAGACUGAAAAUUUAUGCUACAGAAGACUUACGAGAAGAAUACUCUGAUGCUCCAGUAUUGGCAAAUCUUAAAAUACUUGAAAUGGGUUUGCCUCUCAUUGAUUGUGUAGGCACUUGCUGUUCAUUCAAAUUCAUGGAUGGGUGCUCAGCAUUACAGAGUGCUCAUAUCAGAAUUGAUUCCAGUCGCAUUACCUUCAAUCGUAUGAUAAACGUGUGAACUUACGAGAUUUAGUCAUACAAUUUUAUCAAUCAAGCGAAUGGAUUGAACUACCAAGAUGCAUGUCCAAAUAUCCAAAUCUAAAACAUUUGGCAAUACGAGGUACCUAUUUAAAAGAUGUCACAAUCAAGCAAUUGAUAUUAAUUUUGCCAAAACUGACACUACUUGAUGUUCGUAAAUCUUAUGGAGUCACUCAAGAAGCUGCUGAUCAUGUUCAGGAUUAUUGUAAGCGUUAUGGCCGAUCAAUCAAGUUUUAUUUCAAAAGAGACGAUAAACAAAUUGAAGCUGAUUGGCCGCAGUCAUUAAAUCCGUGGAAAAAAGUUUGUCGUGGAUUUGAUUUCAUGGAACAUUGUUUUUUCAAAAGUUUUUAUCAGUUACCUAAUUUUUUGGACCCAGUAGAUGAUUAAAAAUGAGAAGGAGAAAAAAUUAUUGAUCUUUUGUACGUAAUUUUUCUUUCAGUUGUGAGGUGUACGAUAUUGGAAAAAGUGUCUUAUACCUCGAUAUCUUACUGAGAUCUUAAUUAUCGCUCUUAAAUGGAAUUGAUGGACCAUUUCACCACUCAGUGCUGGGUAACCAAUAGUCUUGUAAUAUUGUGAUUCAAAGUAUAAAACCUUCGAUGAAAAACCAAUUGAUAAAUAAUAUAAAUGAUUAAGUGAUUGUAAUGCCAUUCUUAUUCAUCAUCGAACUGCAAACCUUCAAGAUUUCGAGCCAUGAUAUUAUAGUUAUCUUUGUAUUUUGAUCUCGUAUAUUGUCGAAUAAUUGAUAUUUGUUUAAGAAUAAAAAUCAAAACAAGUUCAGCCAAUAGCUUCAAAAGUAAAAGAAAGACUGUAAU